UACGAAGGGGGGCUAGCGUUGCUCGGAAUCACUGGGCGUAAAGGGUGCGUAGGCGGGUCUUUAAGUCAGGGGUGAAAUCCUGGAGCUCAACUCCAGAACUGCCUUUGAUACUGAGGAUCUUGAGUUCGGGAGAGGUGAGUGGAACUGCGAGUGUAGAGGUGAAAUUCGUAGAUAUUCGCAAGAACACCAGUGGCGAAGGCGGCUCACUGGCCCGAUACUGACGCUGAUGCACGAAAGCGUGGGGGAGCAAACAGG
rnacentral:rRNA from 1 species